AUAAGAUCACAUGGCCUGAGGUGCUGGGUGGACGUGAAUUUUGGGGGCACACUAUCCAACACGCUACAGUCUCCAAGAUAAGAGUGCCUGGGGGCCAGGAAGGACGGGAGUGGUCUUAAAGGGAAGGAAGGGGCUGUCCUUUGAACCUCCGAGAGGGGGAGUAGAGUUGGUCCUGCCCAGGAACUGGCCCUCCUGGCCAACCAUCACUCUGGCUGCUGGGAGGGAGAGGGAAGGAGGGGCGGAGAAUGGAAGGAGGGGUGGAGAAUGGAACGGGUGGGCUGAGCAGAUCUGAAGCAGGGACAGCAGGGACAGGGAAAUGGGUAUAUUUGACAGUGAGGAAAUCUUAAAACCAGCAAUAAUAACUGUCAGCAGUUUUUGAGUAUUUCAUGUGGACCAGGCGCAGCCCUUCGCGGUUACAAGUUUUAAGUCAUCGAAUUCUGCUAUCUGCUGUCGGACACACAUUCUGCCAUCAGUACCAUUUUACAGAAGAGGACACCAGGGCUCCGAGAAAAGAACCUGCUCAAGGUCACGUAGCUAGUCCCUGUGACUCUGCCUAAGAGCUUUCCCUGGCUGUAGGAGCUCUCUUGCCAUGUGCCGGGAGUGAACCGGAUGGAUGGAUAAGCACUGGUGAACAUCCAAGCAGAUCCUGCUUCCCAAGCUACGGCAGCCGUCCCUCCCUGUGCUGCAGCCACAGGCCUCGUGAUGGUGAGGGGUAAUCCCUCAGGAAGUCGCAAGAGGGAGGAAGAGUCUUCUAGAACUGUGAGACCCGAAGUUCCAGUUUAAGCCAGUGGUACUCUGUUAUGGCCGUCCCAGUAAGCUGACACAGUGGUCUCUGAGUGAAGCCUGGAAAUGAGGCACCUACCAAGGGCCGCUGGCUAAUGUUCCAAGAGGAGCCAUUGGGACGAACGCAUCCUGGACGUGUUCAGACACCAGCAACGUGUGGAGCCUUGUGAGAACAUUUUCAUCACGUGUUGAAGAAACCCCAUAGCUGAUAGCAGCCACUCUCCAUUCUCCCAGUUCCUGGCAACCACUAAUCUACUUCCUGUGUCUAUGGAUUUGCUUAUUCUGGACAUUUCAUAUAAAUGGCAUCAUAUGUUAUGUGACCUUUGGUAUCUGGCUUCUUUCACUCAGCAUAAUGUCUUCCAGGUUCCUCCACGUUGUGGUGUGCGUUAUCAGUCCUUGUUAUUGUUGAAUAAUAUUCCCUUGUAUGGAUAUACCACAAUUUGUUAAUCCAUUCAUCCAUUGAUAGACAUUUAGCUUGUUUCCACUGUUUGG